rnacentral:lncRNA from 1 species
UCGGAGAUAUUGUUCGAUUUUUUAUAAGGUGAUGAUGGAUACAAAAUGUCCUUAUAUAUUGUUUCUACUGUUUAUAUAUAUCAGAUCAGUUCUGAACAGCAGUUCUUAAUGGGUUCACCAUUAGGCCACCGCACCUCCUCCAUGAUUCUCCAUCUUCUUCAAUCUACGUCACGGCUCCAAGUCGGAGCUCACCUCCACGCAAUCCACCGCGGAAGCUCUGGAAUCGCCCUGCUCAGCUCCACCGCAAGGCCGUGCUCUUCGUUGCCGUUGGGAUCAAGCCUCGCCGUCGGAAUCAAGCCAAGGCGUUGCAGAUCGAAGGGAAGCUUGGUCGGAUAAAAAAUGGUGACUUUUAGACCAUUUGCACAUCUGGCCCUUAAACUUUUGGCUAUUCACGCUUUGACCCCAAAACUCUUGAAAGUGCAUAUAUGUCCUCAAGACUCAACCCCAGGACUUUUGAUUGUUCAAUUUAACCCAAGCGAACAUUCCUAAAUUGCGACAUUUGUCCUGGAUUAUUGUCUUCUUUCGUUUCUGCGCCAAAAGUAUCUGAUUUCCAACAAUUAUCUUCCAAUGUCGCCCAAAAAAUUCCAAUUGGGCACUCCAAACCUUAAUGCACGUAAAUGAACAAAUAUAUGCAAACAACCGAAUAAAAAUUUAAAUAUCUAGAUAUUCAACAAUUUAAUACAAAUAUCUCGAUAUUCAGUAAUAUAAUCAAAAAUGAUAUUAAUUGACAAAAAAAAAAUUGACAUUGUUAACGAUGUAAGCUAAACCCUAAACACUAAAUCCAAAACCAUAGGGCUAACAAUAAACCCAAAAACUCUAGACCCUAAACUCCAAACCCUAAACCCAAAGAUUUAGGAUUGAACCCCAGGGUUUAGGAUUAACCCUAGGGUUUAGGAUUAACCAUAGGGUUUAGGAUUAACCCUAGAGUUUAGGGUUGACCUUAGGGCUUAGUGUUAAUUAUAGGGCUUAGAGUUAACCCUAGGAUUUUGAGUUAAACAUAGGAUUUAGGAUUAACCCUUAGGUCUAUGAUUGACCUUAGGGUGUAGGAUUAACUCUAAAUUUUUGGGUUUAGUAUUUAUGGUUUAUAAUUAAUAUUUUUUUUUGUAAAUAGAGUAUGACGUCUCAUUUUUUGUAAACGAAAUAGGAAUAAAAUAUUAUUUUUCCUUAGGAUGUGAAACAAAAAAAACUCAAAAAAUAUACUGAUAUGAAUAUGAUAUUUAAUUUCCGAAUAGUAAAAAUUAUUCCGGAUUAUGAUGAUAUACACGGAAAACAAGUUAGGCAGGCAAAUCAUAAGUUUCUUUUCAGCAUUAGCGAUGCUUUUAUUACAGAUUAAUGUCUUCAAAAAAUUAUUCAGAAAAUGGACAAAAAAUAAAGAACCUGUAAAACAAGGGGAAAAGAUUCAUCACAUAAUCUUCUUUUAAAUGUAUGUUUUUAAUCAAGUAACAUGUUAUGUUUUUUCUGUAGUAUUCAUAAGAUAAAUGUCAAAUAUCCGACCGUCCAAUUAACAUCUAGCGCGAUUCCGAACAUGAGUGAAACCCAAAGCUACUAGAAAUCAAUUUGCAAAGGCAUUUCAUUGCUCGUAGUGGAGUCUGAUUCAUUUUCCCGUUUGUUUGAUGAUGUUUUUGUACUGCUUAGUUAAGUCUUUUAUUCAACUUGUCUUAGAUCUAGCUUCGUGUGCUAGGAUGAGGAAGAAAGUAGUUACUUUUUGCAACCGUCUUCAUGUUAGAAAUAACCGAAUAAAGAAACAAAUAUCUGGAUAUUCAACGAUUUAAUAAAAAUAUCUCGAUAUUCAAUAAUAUAAUCAAAAAUAAUAUUAAUUGACAAAAAAAAUUUAAUGUUUUUAACACUGUAAUAAACCCUAAACACUAAAUCCAAAACCCUAAGGUUAACAAUAAACCCUAAAACUCUAGACCUUAAACUCUAAACCCUAAACCCUAGGGUUAACCUUAGGGCUUAGAGUUAACCCUAGGAUUUAGAGUUAAACAUAGAAUUUGAGAUUAACCCUUAGGUUUAUGAUUGACCUUAGGGUUUCGGAUUAAUCUUAAGGUUUAGAGUUUAAUGUUUAAGAUUUAGAAUUUUGGUUGCAGAGCAUUAAUAAUGUCAAAUUUGUUUUUAACAAUUAAUAUUAUUUUCUGUUUUUUUUUUGUAAAUCGAAUAUGACGUAUCAUAUUUUUAUUGGUUCUUAUUUUUGUAAAUGGAAUAUGAAAAUAAUAUUAUUUUUCCUUAGGAGAUGAACAAAAAAAAACUCUAAAAACAUAUUGAUAUGAAUAUGAUAUUAAAUUUCCGAAUAGUAAAAAUUUUAUCCGCAUUAUUAUAAUAUACCUGAGAAAACAAAUAGGGCAUACAAUAAUUCAGAAAAUGGACAAAAAAAUAAAGAACCUGCAAAAAAAGAGUAAAAGAUUCAUCACAUAAUCGUCUUUUAAAUGUCUGUUUUUAAUCAAGUAACAUGGUAUGUUUUUUUGUUGUAGUAUUCAUAGUAUAAAUGUCAAAUAACCAGAUAUCAAAUGUUGUAUCCAGUAUAAAUGUCAAAUAUCCAGAUAUCUUAAUAUUAUUUUUCCUUAGAAAGUGAACAAAAAAAAAAUCAAAAAAUAUAUUGAUAUGAAUAUGAUAUUUAAUUUCCGAAUAGUAAAAAUUAUUCCAGAUUAUGAUAAUAUACCUGAAAUAAAACAAGUUAGGCAGACAAAUCAUAAGUUUCUCUUAAGCAUCAACGAUGCUUUUAUUACAGAUUAUAGUCUUCAAGCAAUUAUUCAGAAAAUUAAAAAAAAAUAAAGAACCUUCAAAACAAGGGGAAUAGAUUCAUCACAUAAUCGUCUUUUAAAUGUAUGUUUUUAAUCAAGUAACAUGGUAUGUUUUUUGUUGUAGUAUUCAUAAGAUAAAUGUCAAAUAUCCGACCGUCCAACCAACAUCUAGUGUGAUUCCGAACAUGAGUGAAAACCCAAAGUUACUAGAGAUCAAUUUGCAAAGGCAUUUCAUUGCUCGUACUUUUUGCAGCCGUCUUCAUGGUAGAACCAACAGAAUAAAGAAACAAAUAUCUCGGUAUUCAAUAAUAUAAUCAAAAAUAAUAUUAAUUGACAAAAACAAAUUUAACGUUUUUAACGCUGUAAUAAACCCUAAAUACCAAAUCCAAAACUCUAGGGUUAACAAUAAACCCUAAAACUCUAGAUCUUAAACUCUAAACCCUAAACCCUAGGGUUUAGGGUUAACCCUAGGGCUUAGUGUUAACCUUAUGGCUUAGAGUUAACCCUAGGAUUUAGAGUUAAACAUAGGAUUUAGGCUUAACCCUUGGGUUUAUGAUUGACCUUAGGGUUUAGGAUUAACCCUAAGGAAAAAAACCGAACCGAAUCGAAACCAACCCGAUAUCUGGAUUGAACACCCCUAAUCCAAAUGAAGCCAAACUAUUGUUUCAUUCUCCAAAAUAUAAUAAAAAUAAUAACUUAAUUCCGCGCAAGGCGCGGAUCUUAUCCUAGUUAAUAAAUAAUUUGGGAACAAGGUGAUCGGCAAGGGCAAAAUGACUCCAGUAUCCUCGCGUUACGUUAGAGAAUGAAAUACUUUUAUCCCGUUACCAGUUAUUUUGUCGUCUUCUGAUAACAUGUACUCCCUCUGGAUUUAAUUGUAUGAUGUUUAAAGUUUUACACACAUUUUAAGAAACAAUAAAUACACUAUUUUACUGGUUACUUUUUGGUUAUAUCAAUAAAUUUUCACCAUUCAUAAUUUAACUUUUUAAUUUAUGUUUAAAUUUUAAAACUUAAUGCAUUAAUUAUAUCUCAAAACAUCACACAUUUGUAUACAAGAUAAAAAGAUGAAACAUCAUACAUUCGUAUCCGAGGUACUAUGUGUUUUGACAAAGACAGCUACAAAUCAUAAAAUGAGAUAUUUUGUUUCUUUGUGUGGAUAUUAGUGAAUUGUCACUAUUUGGCUCGGAGAUAUUGUUCGAUUUUUUAUAAGGUGAUGAUGGAUACAAAAUGUCCUUAUAUAUUGUUUCUACUGUUUAUAUAUAUCAGAUCAGUUCUGAACAGCAGUUCUUAAUGGGUUCACCAUUAGGCCACCGCACCUCCUCCAUGAUUCUCCAUCUUCUUCAAUCUACGUCACGGCUCCAAGUCGGAGCUCACCUCCACGCAAUCCACCGCGGAAGCUCUGGAAUCGCCCUGCUCAGCUCCACCGCAAGGCCGUGCUCUUCGUUGCCGUUGGGAUCAAGCCUCGCCGUCGGAAUCAAGCCAAGGCGUUGCAGAUCGAAGGGAAGCUUGGUCGGAUAAAAAAUGGUGACUUUUAGACCAUUUGCACAUCUGGCCCUUAAACUUUUGGCUAUUCACGCUUUGACCCCAAAACUCUUGAAAGUGCAUAUAUGUCCUCAAGACUCAACCCCAGGACUUUUGAUUGUUCAAUUUAACCCAAGCGAACAUUCCUAAAUUGCGACAUUUGUCCUGGAUUAUUGUCUUCUUUCGUUUCUGCGCCAAAAGUAUCUGAUUUCCAACAAUUAUCUUCCAAUGUCGCCCAAAAAAUUCCAAUUGGGCACUCCAAACCUUAAUGCACGUAAAUGAACAAAUAUAUGCAAACAACCGAAUAAAAAUUUAAAUAUCUAGAUAUUCAACAAUUUAAUACAAAUAUCUCGAUAUUCAGUAAUAUAAUCAAAAAUGAUAUUAAUUGACAAAAAAAAAAUUGACAUUGUUAACGAUGUAAGCUAAACCCUAAACACUAAAUCCAAAACCAUAGGGCU